rnacentral:sRNA from 1 species
UUGGGGCAGGGAAAGGGUGUUGGGAGAGCAGGGGAAUCUCUAAAAUGUGACAGAGACCUGGGGCAGGGGUAAGCCCAGGGUGUCUAGGGUGUGUGUGUUGCGGGGGAGGAUACUCUGAGACUCAUAGCAGUGGAUCCUGAAGUGACCACCUCUGUGGAGUUCAUGCAGGAGGAACAACAAGUUUAGAACUCAUGGAAUGCGGCCCACUUGUUAGCACAAUUACAACAACUGUUGCACCUCAGUUGAGACACUGCCCAGAGGUGUCCUGAGGACGUCGUGCCGUUUUGGAGUUCUGCUCUGCUUGCUGCCCUCACAUCCCUCUUCAUCUAAGAAUCGUCUGAGAACUCUAAGGGGACUUCCAGUCCCUCACUGGACAGUAUCUCUCUUGGCACUAACAAUAAUAAUGCUUGAUCUUUCUCAAGCAUUGCUGCUGGAGCAGAUUAAUGAGUCACUGUUCUAGGAAAGAACUUAGAGAUGUGGAUCGUCAGCUAUGACCAUCACCCUUAGAAAGCUUCUGGGAAUAUAAAAGUUAGUAAAGAUGUUAUUACUACAGGCUUUGAUGUAGAAACUCUUAGGGAACAAUUUGAAGUUCAAACAGACACACUUUCAAUAGUUGAGCUAGGGACCUUCAUGGUCAGGGAACAAGAACAAUGGCAGCGCUGGCUGACGUGACUCUCACUGAGGCUGCACUGGUGAUGAGUGAUUUCUUACACCCAUUUUCCCCCUCGGCUUCCUGAGUUUGAAGAAUUAAUAUAUGCACACCGUACCAUAGACACCCAUUCAUGAUUUCAAUGGACUCCUUCUUAAGUUCUGAGAAGGCUGGGACUGUAAUCAUACAUUUAUUAGAAGUUAUGGCCAUCGUGGGGAUACCUGUGCAAAUGAAGACUGACAAUGACCCAGCAUCUGUCUCCAAUAAAAUGAAAUAAUCUUUUGCAUAACACAAGGCACAUUAUGGAUAUGUCGUACAAUUCUACAGGACAAGCAGUUGUACUUGAAGAGAUGCUUAACAAACUAAAUGGUAUAAAAGAAAACCCCAGAGAGAGAUUCACUGGGGGAGAGACUUUGGUUUAGUUUCUUUUGGAAAAGAAAACGAUGUGAAUCCCUUUCAAAUUGACAAAAAAAAAAAAAAAAAUCAGAUUUGACAUGGGGAGACCCUUGAAUAUCCUGACUGCAGACUUGAAAGAAACCAAGAAAAACAAAACAGGUAACAUAAAUUGUUGAUCCCCCUACAUGGGAACAGCUCUGAGACCGGCUCACACAUGAAAAUGUCUCCAGCCAGAACUUCAGCUAAGCAUAGCCAAUAAAUCUUGUUGGCUACAGAAUCCUCAAGACUUUGCAUGCCAUCCUCUCAAAUGGCACAGAUAGAAAAGUAUAUUACAGGUCUGUCCCUGGCAGCAUUCCCGUUUCACUGCAAGGUGGAUGAACAUCGAUGAACCCCCUUAUAAAAUUUGCUUCGUAUGUGCCAAGAUGCCACUGGGCAAGAAACUACCCUUGCUUCAACUGCCGACAGUAUGCUUUCCAAACUGGACAAACAAGAUACAGGGAAGUCAACUGCUGAGCUCUGCCAAUACGGAGUGGAGCAGACACCAAUGCCAAACAUGUUUGGAAACGGGCCAUUGAAGAGGACAUUGAAGCUACUGGCAAAUGAGUCUGAUGGAGAGAAAUCAGCUGCAGACUACAAACAGCUGUGAGCUCUGAAUUUGCAGAAAGCUGAUUGUGAACCAGUCUGGCCAAUUUGAUUGUUCCCUGUCUCUUCACCUGGGUCAUCGUACCAGCUGCUCCUGAUGAAUGUCCCAUUGCCUGAAUCCCCUUCCAGAGUUUGACUAGCAUUCCAGUCUUCCUGGGCCCUGACAACUGUGCCCCAAGACCAGCAGUAGUUAAGAGCCAACCAUAUAUUACCCCAUAGCUUUAACUGGCUAGAUUAAUCAGGUCAAAAGAGAACUCCCUAGCACAGAGGACAAAAUGACUACCCAUAGUACCCAUGGACAUACCAGAAAAGGUGCCUGUGGAAAAACCCAAUAGGCACAGAUCUAUCAACAGGUAGACUCAUUAGCUGAAAUAGUUCUUCAAUAUGACAAGGCACUUGACCUGCUUUACACAGAACAAGGAGGUAUUACGUGGCUAUAAGAGAAAAAAAAUGUUGUUUCUAUAUGAGCCACUCAGGAAUCAUUAGAAAUAAUCGGGCUGGAGAGAUGGCUCAGCGGUUAAGAGCACCCGACUACUCUUCCAGAGGU